UACGAAGGGGGCUAGCGUUGCUCGGAAUCACUGGGCGUAAAGCGCACGUAGGCGGAUCGUUAAGUCGGGGGUGAAAUCCUGGAGCUCAACUCCAGAACUGCCUUCGAUACUGGCGAUCUUGAGUCCGGAAGAGGUGAGUGGAACUCCUAGUGUAGAGGUGGAAUUCGUAGAUAUUAGGAAGAACACCAGUGGCGAAGGCGGCUCACUGGUCCGGUACUGACGCUGAGGUGCGAAGCGUGGGGAGCAAACAGG
rnacentral:rRNA from 1 species